AUCCAGCUGACGAGUCCAAAAUAGGAUGAAAAGUGCAUCCCGUAU
rnacentral:hammerhead_ribozyme from 1 species